rnacentral:rRNA from 1 species
ACCGGGUGCGGAUCUCGAAAGCCUGUCCCAGUUCGGACUGGAGUCUGCAACCCGACUCCACGAAGUUGGAUUCGCUAGUAAUCGCGCAUCAGCCAUGGCGCGGUGAAUACGUUCCCGGGCCUUGUACACACCGCCCGUCAAGCCAUGGGAGCCGGGGGCGCCUGAAGUCCGGGACCGCGAGGACCGGCCUAGGGCGAAACUGGUAACUGGGCUAAGUCGUAACAAGGUAAC